rnacentral:rRNA from 1 species
CACGUAGGGUGCGAGCGUUGUCCGGAAUUAUUGGGCGUAAAGGGCUCGUAGGCGGUCUGUCGCGUCGGUAGUGAAAACUCAGGGCUUAACCCUGAGCCUGCUUCCGAUACGGGCAGACUAGAGGUAUGCAGGGGAGAAUGGAAUUCCUGGUGUAGCGGUGAAAUGCGCAGAUAUCAGGAGGAACACCGGUGGCGAAGGCGGUUCUCUGGGCAUUACCUGACGCUGAGGAGCGAAAGCCAGGGGAGCAAACGGG